ACGCUCGACACCUACGUGAGGCAGCAGUGGGGAAUAUUGCACAAUGGGGGAAACCCUGAUGCAGCAACGCCGCGUGAAGGAAGACGGUUUUCGGAUUGUAAACUUCUGUUCUUAGUGAAGAUAGUGACGGUAGCUAAGGAGCAAGCCACGGCUAACUACGUGCCAGCAGCCGCGGUAAUCUGAGGCGGGCUGGCAAGGC
rnacentral:rRNA from 1 species